rnacentral:rRNA from 1 species
UACGAAGGGGGCUAGCGUUGCUCGGAAUGACUGGGCGUAAAGGGCGCGUAGGCGGAUGGUACAGUCAGAUGUGAAAUUCCCGGGCUUAACCUGGGGGCUGCAUUUGAUACGUGCGAUCUGGAGUGAGGAAGAGGGUCGUGGAAUUCCCAGUGUAGAGGUGAAAUUCGUAGAUAUCGGGAGGAACACCAGUGGCGAAGGCGGCGAUCUGGGUCGAUACUGACGCUGAGGUGCGAAAGCGUGGGGAGCAAACAGG